GCCUGAGUGGCUUAGUCGGUUAAGUGUCUGACUUUGGCUCAGGUCAUGGUCUCAUGGUUCGUGAGUUCGAGCCCCACAUUGGGCU
rnacentral:tRNA from 1 species